rnacentral:rRNA from 1 species
CGUAGGCGGAUAUUUAAAAAUAUAGUAAAAGACUGAGGAAGAACCUCUUAAAUCUAUGUUCACUAAAUAUCUUGAGUUCUAUGGCGAUUAUUGAAUUCCUUAAGAAAGGGUAAAAUUGUUGAUAUUGGAAGACAGCCGAAGGCGAAAGCGGUAAUCGAGGUAGAUCUGACGCUAAGGUACUAAAGCAUGGGUAUGAAAAGGAUUAGAGACCUUGUAGUCCAUGCCUUAAACCAUGAGUGUUCAACGUCUAAAUAUGUUAGGCCUGCCCAUUAUAUCUYGAAGAUAUMAUGGGUCUUUUUCAAGUUUAAAAUAAUAAACAGGUGCUAUGUCAUAUAUAGGGGUUUGAAGCUAACGCGUGAAACACCGCCUGGGGAAUGUGGCCGCAAGGUUAAACUCAAAGGAAUUGACGGAGKCUUGUACAAGG